AUUAAAAUCUUAAAAUGCAGAUGAAGACUGGCUUGUGCAGAAUCCUUCUGCUAUCUUAUGCAUACAAAAGGGAAGCCUAAACCAAGUGUUAGUACGAGGUUUCAAUGAAAACCGCUGGUGGCUAUGCACCCUUGGAACUGAAGAUGGCUUUCUGCUAUACCGUGACUACGUACAAAAUGCUGCUCUUCAAGUUGGAAUUACAAGGACCACCGCGGACAGGUCUGCCCUGUGAGGCCUGAGGGAAUAGGGCCGUUUGAAAUGGUGGGAAGGGGACCAGCAUGGAGGUGGUGUGUUCCCCACCAGCACCCCGGAUUGGAAAAGACCCAUCAGAAGAGUCUGAAUACGAUGUCUGCUUGUGAUGUUCAAGAUGCCUUUUCCUGUACGAGGAGAUGAGUUACAGCUUUUGUGAUGUUACUGUCUUCAGCCUCCGGCAGAGAAGGUGGUACCUACCCAGUGUUAAGCGAAGUCAAGCAUUUCAUAGUGAAGCUGAUGUUGGCCAACUUCGAUGUGUAACUGAGGUCUUGACUCCCUUUUUAUCUGGGCUGUUCUGGAAGCAGAUUUUCUUUCCGGACCUCCGAUACUAGUACUGGGAAAUGGUGUUGCUAAAAGAAUUGAAGUUUGUACAUGCCAGAACAGGAAUCAGAGUAAAUGAUAUAUUAGAAGGCUGCUCCUUGGUUAAAUGAUUGGUUUUGGACAUAAAAAAAGCCUUUGGAGUUAAAUGAAAUUAGUAAGAAGGUAUUUUCAAGCACUAAAAUCUGUGACAAAAGAUAGGAAAGCGGUGGGGUUUAUGUUUAAAGAAAAAACAAUAGUGUGGAUUGUGUUUAAGUUGCAGUAGAGUUUAAAAGAGCUCAGAAGCAUUAGUUACCUAGAGGAAUUGUAUGAGCCAGCAACAGCUUAAAAGGACUGGAACGAAAUGUUAACCAAUGGGGAGAUUAAAGCUGCAGUAAGAUUUCACUGUCUGUGCAGUUAAGUUUGAGUUGGAAGUUAUGAUAAAAAUGCCUGCUGUCUUAAUGUAGCCCAAUAAAAAGAUGAAAAACCAUGAAUGAAAUGAAUAAUGGAAGAUGAAUUUUGAUGCGAUGAGAUUUUAACAUUGCACUGUAAAUAUAUCACCAUGUUUUUGUCAGGGUUUCUGUAUCUAUUAUAAAACUGUUUCAAAUUGAUCUAUGAAUAACAGGAUGUUUAUUUUCUAUUUCCUGAAAUCAACAAGGCAGUGAACAUGAAUCGAGGGCCUGACAGGAACCUCACCAAGUUCAAACAAGGCAAAUGUGCAGUCCUGCAGUGGGUACCGAAUUCACUUGAUGCAGUUGUGCAGCCUGGGCACAGACUGGUUGCGAAGCAGCUUUGCAGAAUCAGCUUCGCUGAUGGGGUCAUCCUGGGCUCCAUUAGAAGAGCACAGCUGAGCAGGGGCAUGCAAAGCAGUCUCUCCUCUCUGUUCAGCGCUUCCGAGACUGCAGCUGGAGUGCCGUGACCAGACAAGAUAUGUAUGGGAAGAAGUCCAGUGGAGGCCCCCAAGAUGAUCAGGAGGUUAGAGCAUAGGAGCCAUGGGGAUAGAUGGCGGGGUUUGUUCAGUCUGGAAAACAGGCGGUCGGGGGGUAGGAAGUCUUCUCUUGAGCUGUGUAAUGGAAGGGGAUAGAGAAGAUGGUCUAUCUUAGCGGUGCAGAGUAAUGAGGAAGUCUUGUAUACUUUUCAGUGUAUGCAAGCGUUGCAUCAUACUGCUAAUAAAAAUAGUGCAAGUCAGUACUGUCCUGCUGUACGUAAUUGGUCUCCCUGCACUGUGGCACCACUGGGAGUUCCUGGUGACCCUUCUGUUUCAGGAAGGGUGAAUGCAGGGGACCCAGACUGGGGGCUCAUGUGGGGUGAUGAUCACUUGUGGUUUAGGGACCUUCAUCCUACUGUUUACAGAAAUACAAACUGUUGAAUAUUAAGACAGUGGAGGCGACAGAUCUAGGAAAGCAAGGGAAAUUUGAAAUGCUUGCACAUCUCCUGUGCAGACUUUCCCAGGCAGGAC